rnacentral:rRNA from 1 species
UACGUAGGGUGCGAGCGUUAAUCGGAAUUACUGGGCGUAAAGCGUGCGCAGGCGGCGCCGCAAGUCAGGCGUGAAAUCCCCGAGCUUAACUUGGGAAUGGCGCUUGAAACUACGGUGCUGGAGUGUGGCAGAGGGAGGUGGAAUUCCACGUGUAGCGGUGAAAUGCGUAGAGAUGUGGAGGAACACCGAUGGCGAAGGCAGCCUCCUGGGCCAACACUGACGCUCAUGCACGAAAGCGUGGGGAGCGAUCCGG